rnacentral:rRNA from 1 species
AUGCCGAGCCUCGCCGCCGCCGCCGCCGCUCGCCGCGCCGGGGAGGCCCUCCGCCGCGGCGUCAUGGGCGGUAGGUAUCUCUCUUCCCUCCGCCCGUCACCCGCUACUGCUGCCGCCCCCGACAGCGACGAGGUGCUGGUGGAAGGCAAGGCCAGUGCCCGCGCCUCCGUGCUCAACCGCCCCGGCCAUCUCAACGCCCUCACUACCACUAUGGGAGCUAGGCUCAACAAGUUCUAUGAAUCAUGGGAGGACAGCCCCGACAUUGGUUUCGUCAUGAUGAAGGGCAGCGGCCGAGCAUUCUGUGCUGGUGGGGAUGUUGUUGGAUUGCGCCAACUUAUCAAUGAAGGCAAGCUGGACGAGUCUAAAGAUUUUUUCAGGACUUUGUACAGUUUCAUCUAUGUUCUAGGCACAUACUUAAAACCACAUGUUGCCAUUCUUGACGGUGUUACUAUGGGUGGUGGAGGAGGUGUUUCCAUUCCUGGAACAUUUCGCGUUGCCACUGAUAGAACGGUGUUUGCCACUCCAGAAGUACAUAUUGGCUUUCAUCCGGAUGCUGCUGCCUCAUUUUAUUUGUCACACCUAACUGGUCAUGUUGGGGAAUACCUGGCCUUGACUGGUGAAAAACUCAAUGGAGUUGAUAUGGUUGCACUUGGCCUUGCCACACACUAUUCAAUGAGUGAGCACCUGGAUCUGGUUGAUGAACGACUUGCAAAAUUGGUUACUGAUGAUCCAUCAGUUAUUGAUUCUUCCCUUGCACAAUACGGGGACCUUGUUUAUCCAGAUAAGACAAGCAUUGUACAUAGGCUGGCGGUCAUAGAUAAAUGCUUCAGCCAUGAAACAGUUGAAGAGAUCGUGGAUGCAUUGGAAAGUGAAGCAGCUCAGUUGAAUGAAGAAUGGUGUACGUUGGCACUGAAAAGAUUGAAAGAGGCCUCCCCACUUGCUUUGAAAGUAUCACUACGAUCGAUACGUGAAGGUAGAUAUCAGACACUUGAUGAAUGCCUUGUGCGUGAAUACCGCAUGUCCAUCAAUGGCAUUUCAAAGCCAUUUUAUCAUGAUUUUUGUGAGGGUGUGAGAGCGCGACUGGUUGACAAGGACUUGGCCCCAAAGUGGGAUCCUCCUGCGCUCGAGUUCGUUUCUGAGGACAUGGUAGAUUCUUACUUUGCCCCACUAGGAGAAUUCGAGCCUGAGCUGAAGCUGCCUACAGAACAGCGAGAGGCAUUCAUAUAG